AAAGUCGUAACAAGGUUUCCGUAGGUGAACCUGCGGAAGGAUCAUUAAGAAAGUAGUCAGCCCGUCUGGGCGUAUCUACCACCCUUUGUUUACCACACCAUUGUUGCUUUGGCAGGCCUGUCUCCGGACUGCUGGCUCCGGCUGGCGAGCGCCUGCCAAGGGACCCAAACUCUGUUUGUCUAUACUGUCUGAGUACUAUAUAAUAGUUAAAACUUUCAACAACGGAUCUCUUGGUUCUG
rnacentral:misc_RNA from 1 species